UACAAUUUAUACACUUUGCAUGGGAGCUUAUGUUAUCUGUAGUAUGGUCUUUCCAACUUAGGUUGUAGUUUUCCCUAUUGCAUGGAUAGAAAUACUUAUUUUAAUAUCGCGUCACCCUCAUGCUCUCUCUCGAUUUAACUUUUGAGUUGUACCUCCUUGCAACCUAUAUUUGGCAACGAACUCUCGGACUUGGGUGGCUUCC
rnacentral:lncRNA from 1 species